CAGUUCGCUUUUGCAGUUCACUUCUUUGUAGUUUCGUUUGCUUAUUCAUUUCCUUUUCCCACACACACGUGAAAACUUCAUCUUCUUUUUUUCUUCAUCCCACAAUGAAAAUGAAACGCACACUCUCUGGGUGGGUGUGUGUGGAAAAUAAACUGGAAAACUUGUCACGUGAUAAACUCCGAAAGGAAAAGAAUGUCACGUAGCGGGAACAACGCCUCGCAGCGACCGACAACCUUUGCCACUUAAAGUUUUUAAGCUCUAAGACAGAAAUAUGUUUUAAUUCCAUAAUCAGCUUGCAGAAAUCCAAAAUCAAUUCUCCAUUGCUCGGGCAGCCAUGCCCCAUGCCCCCCGAAAAUGCCAGCAUACUUUAAGCGUGCGACAAAUGCUGGUCACGUCUAAGCCCCCAUGCCCCGUGCCCCAC
rnacentral:lncRNA from 1 species